CCCAGCGGUACCGGCGGCAUGCAGGCGGCCCUGGAGAUCACGGCACGUUACUGCCGCAGCGAGAUGGAGCAGUACGGGCGGUGCGUGGCCGCCAGCCCGGCCUCCUGGCAGCGCGACUGUCACCGGCUCCGCCUCAGCAUGUCCCGCUGCGCCGCCGCGCACCCCAUCGUGCAGCAGAUCCGCCAGGACUGCGCGGAGCCGUUUGCUGCCUUUGAGCAAUGUCUGAAGGAGAACCAAGCUUCCGUCAUGAACUGUAGCGAUCAGGUCAACGCCUUUCUGCUCUGCGCUGACCAGGUGAAGCUCUCCACGUGAGGUCUUUCACCACUGCAAGAAGACUUCCAGCUGCCAGACGGGCUUGGGAGUAGGUUCACCUGCAGCCACUGAACACUGAUACCUACCUGGCUGCUGAAAAUAAAAGCAGCUCUGUCCUCUGCUCUAGGGUAUCCGUUUCAUCACUGGCUCUUGUACUUGACCCCUCGUGUCACCAUCAGACAUCUUUGCAUCAGGAGCCCCGGGUCUAGUGUAGCUCUUCACCGUAUUUAUUUAUUCACCUUGGGAUCCUGGUUCCUUUUGCAACUCCUGACACCUGCUAUUGAGUUUCCUGACUCUAUGGAGGUAUGAGCAGCCACUCACACGAGUUGCUCCUUUACUCCAGGAUACCUAACUCCUGGGAAGGGUGAAGGAUGGGCCAUUCUCCUGGGAAGCCCAGGCCAACCUUCGUGGGACUGCAGGGAGCCAGCUGACUGCCCAUGCAUGCAGUUUGACUGUGCCGAGGCAAGCUUCAGAUUUCCACUUAAGAGUUUGCUUUCUUUUUUUUUUUUCUUGUUUUUUUUUUAUUAUUAUUUUCAAAUGUACAUGCAAAAAAACAUGGCACAUCACAGCACUAGAUCACAAGAAGGGAGGGUGGGGUUUCAGUGGGUGAAGCUGGCUCUGGUAUUUGGGAGAAACAUCAAUUUGCACAUAGUUCACUGUAACGUCCUCUUAAAACUUAAUCUCAACUGAGACCGGCUGUAGUGCAAGAGCCUCUGAAAGUAAUGCACAGCGGGAGGAGUUUUUCUGCUUUGUUUUUUAGGGGUGGGUGACUACACAACAAAGGUGGAAGUCACCUAGCUGCAGCAGCUUGGUCUACAACUUGUCUAUCUGGGCAAACGUCUCGUAAAUAGCUGUUUCUGCAAAAGGCUCCCCCUUCCCUCGUAAAAAGAAAUGUCAAAGUGUCUGUAAACUACGUACAUGACUGCCUUCUGGGGAUAGGCGUUGUCAGAUAGUGAGAGCAAAGGCAAGUCCAGCUACAGAACCUGGCACUGUGAGCACAACGGGAAGUGACUGCACAUCAGCACGUGUCACGUUCACACAGCUUUAUUAAAGGAAGCAACGGUGGGGGGAUCUUUAUAAGGGCUGUGGUUCUGUUACACGUCAUUCCUUAUGUCAGCUCUCUAUAAGCAAUUAAGAAGGUGCCAAAUUCCUGAUAAAAAACAAAAUGCAUCAGGACUGCAUCUCCUUUCAGCCCCAAAUCCUGGAUUUUUUUGAAUUCCUGGGAAUCUUCCUUCAUAACCGCAGAAAACAAAACCUAGCCAUUUCCUUUUUUUUUUUUUUUUUUUUUUUUUCAUUUGAGUGGCUACACACCUUUAAAAUCAGGCUGGCAAACCUGUGAAUGCUUGGAAGUAAAACACCAUGUACAGAAACAUCAGUCAGCCGGGUUCUUGAGUUGCGCUGUUCGACUCCCAGCUUUGGAGAUCCAAGAUUUAAAAAUAAAGCGUUGUUUCCUUU